rnacentral:rRNA from 1 species
GUGGGGAAUAUUGGACAAUGGGCGCAAGCCUGAUCCAGCCAUGCCGCGUGAGUGAUGAAGGCCUUAGGGUUGUAAAGCUCUUUCAGUGGGGACGAUAAUGACGGUACCCACAGAAGAAGCCCCGGCUAACUUCGUGCCAGCAGCCGCGGUAAUACGAAGGGGGCUAGCGUUGUUCGGAUUUACUGGGCGUAAAGCGCACGUAGGCGGAUCGUUAAGUCGGGGGUGAAAUCCUGGAGCUCAACUCCAGAACUGCCUUCGAUACUGGCGAUCUUGAGUCCGGAAGAUGUGAGUGGAACUCCUAGUGUAGAGGUGGAAUUCGUAGAUAUUAGGAAGAACACCAGUGGCGAAGGCGGCUCACUGGUCCGGUACUGACGCUGAGGUGCGAAAGCGUGGGGAGCAAACAGGAUUAGAAACCCCUGUAGUCC